GAUGACUUACACAGACUGAAGCAAUUUCUGUAGACCUGGCUUUUCCCCUAACUUUCCGUUUUAUUUACCGUUUUCCGCUGGUAUUUUAAAAAAGAAAAAUGUGAUACUUUCUGUGUUUCUCCUCCUUUCUCCCCCACACAUUAAUAGAUUACAGAUCCCUAAAAGUCAAACAAUGGAACGUAAUAAUCCCGACAUUCCUCAGAGGCCCUCCCCCAGUCAUUUGCACAUAGCAGACGCUCAGUAAACGCUGAGUUAAACUGACAGCAGGAAUCUUUCCGCUCCCCAGGGACUUCUCCACAGAUUCCAGCCGUGUUUCAGCAGCUGGAAUAUGUAUGCAAAGGCUCAAGAGAGGCUCCACUUGCUGCAGAGCCCAAGUAAAUGGCGUGUCAGUGGAUAAAGAGGUCACUACGGACAGAGGGAUAGAGCAUUUGGGCUCAGACAGCCCGACACACACACAUGCUUAUCUCUGGCAUCUGUUUAUGAGGCCACUCAUUUUGGACUUGGUAGAAUUACUCUGUCUGCCUUCCGGUGGGUAAGCAAGAGCUUCUCUUGCUUGGAGGCAAUCGAUUGAUUCUCAGUCCCGAACUCUAAUAGCGGUGUGGAGGCGGAAGCUCACAGCAGAGACAGCAAAUGCGAACUCCAUUUUGAAACGUGUAUGGGCAAACCAAAAAAAAUGCAAGCUAAAUGGCCCACAGUUUCUCCUGAGGCAUUCCUUGCAUACCAUACUGGAAAAUUAAAGCCAUCUGUGUGGGUCAAAGGGAACUCCAUUUCUAGAGUGGCAAGCUACACAGUCCAGUCUUGCAAAUGGCUUAACAGCAACUUUGUGAAAGGAUUUAAAAGUCGGAACAGUGAAAAAUAUGAAGCUUGCCGUGAGAAGCAGGAAGAGGAAAGCAAGAGUUCGACUCCUUUCCCCAGACGCUGGGACAGUCUACAUUAUGACCCGUGAAGAAUGGCUGUCUGAUAUUGUCCACAAGUCGGUGGGCUUGUGGUAAGUUUUCUGUAGUGACGAGUGUUGUUCAAGAGUGCAUCUGACUGGGAAUCCAGCUGAAUGCAGACCCAUGGCUCCUGAAGACACAAAGUUUCUGUUUUUUGAUUUGUUGUUAAAAUGAUACACUGGGUUAAAAAACACAACAACAAUAGCCCCCAAAGUAAAGAAACAAACAAAAAAAAUUGGGUCAAGGGCAAUCCAGUCUGUUCAUGGUCUCUGAGAAUGAACAUGGCUUCCUAAAAUCGUUGUGGUAGACUAAGGUUUGGUCUACUGAAAUGAGGGGACAGAAAAUGUACAGGAAUAAACAGAGCAAGGUUGGAGCGAACGGGGAAGGCUUUGCUUUCACGAUGAGUGAGCGGAAAGAAAAUCCCUCACAGGACUGAAGGACCACGGAGUGUUAUUGCCCCUCUGAAGAGGGCGUGGGUUAGGAGGCUGGCUGAGAGUGGCCUUGGGAAGGGUUAGAAGGGAAUCAUUCCAUAUUACAGCGCCACCUUUAGAAGAAAGUGGAUCCAAACAGCUGGGGCAGCUCUGUUUACCCAUGGGACAACAGAGGCAUCUCAGUCCUAUUACCCACAGGCCCUGGUGCUCCCCUUACCCAUGUACCCCUUUUCUACUGAUGAAAGCUGAUGAGGAUAUAAAAAUGUGGGUGAGAGGCGGGCCAGGGAAGUUCCUAGCACCAGCCAGGGCCCCUGACCCAGAAUGACUUUAGAAAGUCAAUUGUUCCUACACAGUGUGUGUCUCCAGCCCAGUCUGUGAGGAGGAGCUUUAUGAGGGGACCCAGUGUGAAGGACAUAGAUGUGGGAGUCAACUAGAAACUGACAGCCUUGACUGAUACUCUCCAUAAACACAGAUUCUGCUACUGAGCAGAAAUGACUCCAUUGUGUUACAGGGUUGUCUGGGGAUAGCAUCUUAGGAAUACCAACUCUACUGGGCUUCCUGCCAAAGCCCACCCACCAUACUGCCAUGCCUGAGUCUGUACACGCCUCAGAACAGGAGACCCGAAGGCAGUACACGCCGGAGGGGCGAUAGUUCUGUGAGAAAUGAAAUAGAUGGUUCUAGAGAACCUGGGCGGUGAUCUUCUGAACGUAUUACAGGUAGAACAUGAGCCCGUCCACUUAGGAUAAAUUGUAAAGGUUACUUGCUUUUCUAUCCUCUGUGGUAACAUGUGAACCUGACUGCAUGAAACGAAGCAGUUAUGAAUGUUGCCAUCCAUCCUCUGGAAGGAGUUGUGUCCCAUAGUGGACGGCCCACCCUGUGCCUAAGGAGAGCUAUGCUAAACUGCUAAUGGAAGCUAGCCUUGACCCAUUUAACCACCGCACUGCCCAGCAAACAUCACAGACCGCUCCUAUACACUUGCGGUAAGAAGGAAAAACCCAACCCAACUUGAGAUGACAAAUAGGAUAAGAGAAAACCGAGCAGACAAACUCUUAGCCUGUCGUCUAAGAACCUCCUUAUCAUUUGUUGCAAGAAAAAGAAUGCAGAAUAGUAGCUAAAACUGGUAGACUUGAACCCAAGAUCAGGUCUCUUUUGUCACUUAUGCAUGGUAAUAUGAAGGCCAACAAAGAAGUUUCUCGGUGGUCAAAUGUUUCUGAAUGCAAAGAACGCAGUCCCAGGGAGCCGUCUGGCAUCCAGGAGAGUCACACCCUGUAUUUGAUUCACAGAAGUCCUGCCCUCAAGUUACAAGAAACAAAUAAAACCACUAUCCAUAACAACUCUGUAGGGGGAGGUGCUGAUACUAAGGUCAGGUUCCCUGAUUGGUUCUUGAUUUUGUCAAUAGAGAAGGCUGGGAGCCAAUUGCUGGGCAGAAGGUACAGGUGGGACUUCCGGGUCCCUGGAGGAAAAGACGGAUGCAGGGUAAGAGAGGGAGCUUUUCUUUGGUGCACUGGAGUUAAAGGGAUGCUGCAAUCAUGUAAGGCCUUGGGGACAGCUAGGUACAGCAGCCUCCGCUACAGGAGGAUCCAGAGACCACCGUCUUCGGGAAAGUGGCAAAGCUAACCAGCGUGUGGAGAGGGCACCAUCUACAGACCAUGCUACUCACAGAAGGAACUGAAAAGAGUUGUAUGCACCCGGGCGAACUACCAGUCCAACCACAGAGAGAACGACUGGGACUGGGUGACCUACCGUAGAAGCUUAGAUAGCCAAAGAGCGCAGCAAGCAGGUACAUGACGAGCAUCCCGGUGAUGGAAAUAUUGGACACCGUCUGCAUCUUUCUCCGGGACCGACUAGGAAGAAGAAGAAGAAGAUCGAGCUUCAGUUCAAGACCACCCUUGCUCAGAAAGCUGUAGGGUAAGCCUGCUCAUACAAAGCGUCAUUGAACAAAUGAACUUUGCAAAUCACAUUAGAACGCCAAGACAAUGGCUGCCUUACUCCUUAAGCUCGCUGUAGAUGGGAAGGACCUCAGGGUGGCAGACGAAAGCAAACGCCAGGAUUGGAAUCGCGUAGGCCGUCUGCAAAACAAAGACAACAGCGUACACCUAGAGGUCCAGCAUGGAUGCUGAUUCCGGAGAGCCUCAGCUUAUAAAAUAAGAUUCAGAGACCACAGUACUCCGCCCGCCAGGGGCCUGUCACUUACGCGGGAAUUGAAUACAAAGUACUUGGGUUGACAUUUGUCCCCACUGUGGGCUUCGUACUCCACACCACUGCCGUGAAGAGGGCCUGCGGCUGGCUUCUCAUCCAGCCCUUCCGGGUCUCGGUGAGUGUAGUCCACCAUGAAGUUCAUGCCCGUGCUCUCCGAGUUAUUGGGUAGCAUGAUCACGUGCAUGGGAAGUGUGUUGUUGAACGUCAGGUUCCCGUUAUUGUGAUCCAGAACAGGCAGAGGGCAGGGUAUUUGGAACUUUUUGUAAAUCACCUAGAGCCAGUCAUUACCAAGUCGAAACAACAGAAAACAAAAAUCGUCAAGCUUUGAGGGGGUGGGGGUGGGGAACAGUGGAAUAAAAAUCCAUCCAUGUGACUUUAGGGAUGCAGGGAGAAACACUCAAUUGAGGGUUUGCUGAAGCUACCGGGCCACAAAGACUCUGUCUGGUUUCAGUUCAAAGGAAAGAUCGGGAACUAUGAUUGGCCACAUUCUAGGCUCCAGUGAGUGCACUCUAGACCUUUCUGACUCUUCUGUGACAAAGAUCAUUUCUUCAUUACGUAUCCUAUCAAACUACACGAGUCAACCAAAAGUCCUUUCCCUUCCUUUACAUCUCUGGGGGGAAAUGACUUACAAAUUUUGCACCCAUGAUAUUUCAAGGAAUUUCACCUUUGUUGGAAUUGAUUUCUUCUUUGACUCUACUGAGUAGAAAGUGCAAGAGAGCACAGCUGGUACAGACAGACAGAGCCCCAGCUUGCUCCUGUCUGCCACCCCCACCUUCUUAAACACUGCAUCGCUACCACCCACCCAGAAUAUGCCAUUGGCUAGGACCCUGCCACUGUGAGUUAUUCAGCUAUUCUUAAAGCCAUGACCGUCCUUUUCUCAUUCCAAACUAGAAGACAAAAAAAUCGCUUGUGAUGCAAGAGCUAUUUCAUGCUAGCGAAGACCUUGAGCAAAAAAAAACAAAAAAACAAAAAAAAAAACAAAAAAACGAGGACACGGAUAAAACACGGCACGCCCACCAGGCUACGAGGAUCGUGUCAACCAAGCACUCACCACACUGACGAAAAACACCAUGCAGGUGAGGGAAAAUCCACUGGUGUAGCCAAGGUAGCCUAGGAAUUAGCAGAGAUAGUUCAAAAGAGCGUGUCUACUAGAAGACGAAGUAAAUGACAGACACACUCUCGGUUAAACAGUGAAUUGAUACCUAAAUUUUUAAGGAGAGAGAGUGGUAGGAUGAUCCCCACGGACACAAAUAAGACGAGGUAGUUGCCAUUGAGGUACCACUCCCUAGAAAAGAAAGAGAGAGGGGGUGUUGGGAACAGAAGGGAUCAACCACACAUGAGCCCCAUGGUAUUGCGGAGAGAAGGUAAGUCAUACCCAGUGUUUUCUUCAAGUCCCAUGAACACUCUGAUCACUUCAGGCAGCUCGUACUUAAUGAUGAAGAGGUAGCUUGACAUGGCUGAAAUGGACAAAGGGACAGAUUAGCGUCAGUCUGCACACUGUCGUCCCACGCAAGCCAAGAGAAGGCGGGGCAUUUGGGACACCCAUUACCCACUCCCCCAGCGUUUGGGACAUCCAUCCUCCUUGAAACGGUGAGCAUCUCAUCUCUAACCCUUCACAAGCAGACGCCUGUCCUUCAUCCCCUACACAGGGCGGCGGUUGCUAACAGUGUCCAUGUUGAUUCUGGGUUAAAUCCUUCUUGGGUUCUAAGGGAACUCCUGGUCCCAUGUCCUCACUGUCAGUCACUAGAGACCAUUACAGACUGAGGGAUGUGUGUCUCUGGGUGGUGGUCUGACAAAAGGAAGGCCGAGGCCAAAUGCAAGAGAGCAGAAUCUCUUGUCACUUCAGUCACUGGAGCUCUCCCCAAGUAACAGCUGUCUGGUCCUCCGUGCUCUCCCAGAGCUACACGACGAAUCUCAGAGCAGAGACCAACAACAGAGUAUGAGACAUGGUAGCUUAACCCUGUUUUGCUGUUAAGGGGUUGCUCCUUUUCCUCUCAUUCCCAUUUCCCAUUGGUCAAGGAAAAAAAAUCACAGGAAGGGUCAAACUUCAUCUACACUAUCUUGAAAAUGUCAUAAGAUCUGUAAGACCUCUCCCUGUAUACCCCCUCGUGUGUGUGUGUGUGUGUGUGUACAUGUGUGUGUAUGUGUGUGUGUACGUGUGUGUGUAUGUGUGUGUGUACGUGUGUAUAUGUGUGUACAUGUGUGUGUAUGUGUGUGUACGUGUGUGUGUGUGUGUACGUGUGUGUGUGUGUGUGUGUAAAACAAAUGGAGAAACAAAACAGAUCUCUUAUGGGAGACAUUUGUGCGACAUUCUUUUCCCAGUCCACCCUUGGGUGCAAUUUGCUCUUAACUUGUUAUCUGACACAUGGUCAAAGGAUAAUUAAGACUAAAACUGACCGAGUCGGGGGCUGUAGCUCAGGGGUAGAACAACUGUCUAGCAUACACAGAGAUCUAGGUCCCACGCUACCGCAACAGGGAAAGGCCAGUUUUACCUAGAAGCUGUCAAUGUGUGCUCUACCCUUCUGGCGUGGUUAUGGAACAGACCUUUAAGUUGUACACUGACUUCUGACUAGUUCCAAGUUAGUCCCUAAGGUCCCAUGGAGGUAAGAUGUAUGGUUAUCAUUUCUGAUGCUGCCUGACUCUGUGGGGUCCUCAUUUGACCAUCUGAUAUGUCUUGGAGAGGACAGGUCCUUACUUACCCUAUCCUGAUGCUCAGGACAUCAGGAUUUUGAUAAACCUGUGACACAGGCAAGACCAUACUGUGACAAAGGGCAGACCGCAUGGGAAGCACAGAGCCCCUGACUUCUCCAAUACCUGCUGUGUCUUCUGCCCACGUGGUUUGGUUAAUCUUUACAAAGUCCUUGGCUAGAGCAGAAUCUUACAGAGGGUAAACAGACGUUUCUGAUGAGCUGGCUCGCUGAGGGACCAUUCGAUUUUAAAGCUCAUAUCUGCUGAGUCUCGGUGACAUCACCGUUAAUGUGUUUGGUCUUUGGAAAUUCAGGGUGCUACAGACCCGUGCGGGUAAUGUCAACAUCAUCCUGCUGGUGCUAAGGCAAUGGGGGUGAGCGGCAAUCCCUUAGGGGGCGGAGAAGUCGAACUGUUCUAAAUGUGGAGUUGCUAAUUUAAGGGAUCCCAGUGGCUCCCCUUAUGCCAAAUCGUUAAUCAUAUGAAAUCAAGUGAGAGCAUUUUUCCCCCGGGGUGGUAGCGUGCAACCUUAUCUCUCUUAAAGCCACACUACUUGUGUUUGCCUUGACACAGAUCACUUUGAGCUACAUCUGGAUGCUAAGCAGUGCCUGUACUGACGCUCAGAACAGCCACGGUGCCAUCGCCCGGCCUGGGGAGUUAAGGGAGAAACACAUUCAGGUCUCCUUAUUUCUCCUUCCAUCCCAUGUUGCAAGCUAGAGCGAGCAUGAAGUCUUAUGAAAUGCUUGAUAAUUUAAAUCCCCGUAAGGCUUAAGGCUGAAGAUUUCAACCAAAUGGGCUUACAUGCGAAUGGCUCCAAUCCAGUAAAAAGAGGGGAAAAAAAGCCAAAAGUAAACAACAACAACAAUAAAAAAAAACAAAAAAACAAUUCCAGCGAUUCUGGAGACGUCCACACAAGACUUUAACCUUAAAAACCUAAGGAUCAAUGAAUGCACAGUGGGCACCAUGGGACUGGUUCAGUGUUAGGGCUCAUGCAUACUCAGACCUGAUGGGUUCAGUUGUGGGUGCUGGAGGUGUGGUGAGAUUAAAGACUACACUGUGGUUGUUUUCCUGUGCA